UGAGAUGGUGUCUCACCCUGUUGCCCAGGCUGGAAUACAGUGGCACGAUCCUGGCUCACUGCAAUCUCCAUCUCCCGGGUUCAAGCGAUUCUCCUGCCUCAGCCUCUCAAGUAGCUGGGAUUACAGGGCUUCAGAAGCUGAUGGCAUAGUUAUGAGAGGGGUGAAGACUGCGACUGCAUUUCCAACAGACCCUGAGGACAAUUGGGAAGAAUGAGGAGCAGUGUCAACAGUCCUAGCCAGCUGUUGCUGAAGGGCCCAACACCAAAUCCCAGCUGAAGAACAGCUUCUCAUCUUUUGAGACACAGCACAGGGUGAUGGGCAUGGAGCUCUUCCACACUCCCCACAGUCUGACUUAGCUCUCUCCGUUGUGCCCUCCUGGCACCCUGCUCGUAUUUUAUUGUGGCACCUAUAUCGCUGGAUCUCACUCACUGGUUUGCACUCCUGUAUCCCCUUUGAGGGAACAAAUCCCAUGCCUCUGCAAUCCCAGGAUCUGAUACUGAGAUAGACACUAAACAGAUAUUUAAAAAUUUUUGAUAAUCAAUGAAUGGACAAGGAGAAUAAAUAAUAUGAAAGAUGAAAUAAAGAAAUAAAAGUAUUAAUGAGAGUAUAAACAUAUCCAGAUUGGGCUGGGUGCGAUGGCUCAUGCCUAUAAUCCCAGCACUUUGGGAGGCUGAGGUGGGAGGAUCACUUGAGGUCAAGAGUUCGAGAGCAGCCUGGCCAACAUGGCGAAACCCUGUCUCUGCUAGAGAUACAAAAAUUAGCUGGGUGUGGUGGUGUGUGCUUGUAAUCCCAGCUACUUGGGAGGCUGAGGCAGGAGAAUCACUUGAACCUGGGAGGCGGAAGCUGCAGUGAGCUGAAAUUGCACCAGCCUGGGUGACACAGUGAGACUCUGUCUCAAAACAAAACAAAACAACAACAACAAAAAAAAAAAAAAAAGAAAGAAAGAAAAAAAGAAAUCCAGAUAGACUAUUAUGUCUUACUGUUCUUUUUCAUUCAUACCAAAUGGGAAAGAAUUUCCUGUCAAUGCUGGCAGUCUCUGGCUAUCAUGUGGCAGCAUCCGGGAAGGACCUUUGAGGCCACGCUCUUUCCCUCAGGGGACAGUGAGGUGCGUUGUCCAUGGCACCGAUGGGUUUUUCUCUGGGUAGCAGGAGGUUCCACAAUUCCCCAGCCCCAUUUCCUUUUAAGUCAUUCUGGUUAUCAUUUCAGUUGAAAGAAUUGGAGCUACUUUUCACUUGGGAGAACAUAAUAAAAAUCACUUAUUCAGUACUAAAUUAGGAUGGACAGCCUUUCUCUUGGGAAGAAAAGCAAUAACAGAUCACAAUAAUGAGAUUGUGCAACAAGCUUUGAAAAUGCUUAUACUACAUUUAUAUGAAACAGUAUUUGCUUACACUUCAGAUAUGGCUGUCGAUUUAUGGUUCAGAGCCAUGGAGCAGGUAAUAAAUAUGACUGUGACAACUUUCUGAAAUCAUUUUUAUUACUUUUUAAAAAUAAAAAUACUAUUUGCUGUUCAAUUCCUAUUAAACUAUAGCUUCUAAAAUACUCAACUUUGGAUUUUCAAAAUCAAUUCUGGAAGGAUGUAGUCCAUAAUGCUAUAAUUCAUUUUUCAAAGUACAUAGCAUCACUGAUGCAGUGUGCUCUAAAAACUUGUGUUCCAAGCAUGAUAAUGAUUUUUAGUCCAUAUCAUUGAUAUUGACUUUACUAG
rnacentral:lncRNA from 1 species